rnacentral:rRNA from 1 species
UACGUAGGUGGCGAGCGUUGUCCGGAUUUAUUGGGCGUAAAGCGCGCGCAGGCGGUUUUUCAAGUCAGUGGUGAAAGCCCGGAGCUCAACUCCGGAACUGCCAUUGAAACUGUGAAACUUGAGGAUGAGAGAGGUGAGUGGAAUUCCCAGUGUAGAGGUGAAAUUCGUAGAUAUUGGGAAGAACACCGGUGGCGAAGGCGGCUCACUGGCUCAUUUCUGACGCUCAGGCGCGACAGCGUGGGGAUCAAACAGG